GGGAUUGUCGGAAGCCCAAAGACCAACCCAAAAGCUAUUAAAUUGUUUGUUCAGACAUAGGAACAGGAGAUUUUCAUUUUUACAGGGUUGCAAAACUUUCAGUUCCAUUUCUAUUUCGCCUUCUAUUGCAGUAGGAGAAGAUAUACCAGCGAGGUUACUUGCAUGACUUUCGGAGUCAAUUGGGUAAUCAUUGAUUUUCAGAAGAGAAGGAAACUGCCGGUUCAAGUAGACAAUUAGGCAAAUGAUGCUUAAUGGUACAAUUAGUCGAACAUGAACAUAACUUUCCUGUAAUUAUCAGCCUCUACAUAAAGAAGGCAGCUCAAAUAGGCAAUUAGACGGACGACUUCUAAUACAAAAAGAAUAUGAAUACAGCUUUUACUGUUAUUAUCGACCUAUACAAAAGGAAUUUAUGUUACAUUAUGCUGUAGUCUUCUGGUAAGAGGUAAUGCUACCAAUAAUCGCCACAGGAACAGGAUCCUUCUUUAAAAUGAUGAAAUCGAUUACGGUCCCUGACUACAAAUGUCCUCCCAUAGACCUUGGACAGUAGUUUUGUUGCCGUGUGGCAAUCAUCGCAAAUUCGGAGAUUUUUCACAAGCCGAAUUGGAGUGCCUGGAGCUGUACUAAUAAGACCAAAAGCCAUGGCCAACUUCUCACUGUGGUAUGCAAGUGCAGUUUCUUUCUCUUCCUCAUCAAUAUUCUGUAGCACUACAGAUUUGUUAGGCAUGUAUCCUGCGUCUUUUAGUUUCUUGCUCAUUUCAGCUAACAUUUCACUUAUUUUUUUAAUUUGAGGGUGCGACAUAUCGCCCAUUGUAAAAUCAUGAACUGAACCAUUUACUUCAAUUGAGCUGAGACCUGGUUCUUUUUCAAUUCCAGUAUCCUCCAUUGCUUUUCUCAUGCCUGCAACAUCGUUCCAUCUGUUUGCUGCAGCAUAUAUGUUUGACAUAAGAACAUUAUAACCACAAUUUUGGGGUUCCAAUGCAAGAAUCUCUCUUCCUGCUAAUUCCCCCAGAUCAAGAUUUUUGUGAAGCUUGCAGGCAGCAAGCAAAGCACCCCAUACAGCAAUGUUAGAGGUCAUUGGCAUGCUCUCAAUCAUUUCAUAUGCUUCAUCAAGCAGUCCAGCUCGACCAAGAAGAUCCACCAUACACCCAUAAUGUUCAACCUUUGGAUUCAAGCCAAAAUCAUGAACCAUUCUCUCAAAAAGUCUUUUUCCUUCUGCUACCAAUCCAGCAUGACCGCAAGCAUGCAGCGCUCCAAUAAAUGUUAUGUCAUUUGGUUUUAUAUCUAGUCUUUCCAUCUGUGCAAAGAGUUUCAAAGCUUCAGCACCAUAGCCAUUCAUUCCAUAUCCAGUCAUCAUGGCAUUCCACAAGCAAAUGUCUCGAAACAUGGCUUCUCUAAAAAGGCUUUGAGCUCUAUCUAUAUCCCCGCACUUAGCAUACAUGUCUACCAGAGCAGUUUUCAGUACCACAUCUACUUCAAUGCCUAGCUUGUCUAUGUAAGCAUGAAUCCACUUGCCCAUGUCAAGGGCUCCAACUUCUGCGCACAAAGAAAGAAGGCUAACCAUUGUCACUUCAUUUGGCAUCACCUUGCCAUCCCUCAUCUGGACAAAGAGAUCAAAAGCAUGAUCAAUACAGUGAGCUUGUGCAUAAGCCGAAAUCAUAGCAGUCCAAGUCAUAAUAUCUUUGUUCUCCAUGCUAUCAAAUAAAGCCCUUGCACUUCUUAAGUCACCACAUUUUCCAUACAUGUCAACAAGCGAAUUCAGCAUCAAAAUAUCCGGUUUCCCAAAAUUCUUGGCAUGAAAAACAUAUUUAUGCAACUGAAUAGCCAAGUCCAAAUUCCCUAAAUUCCCACAAGCAGACGUUACACUAACCAUGGUCACAUCAUCUGGCUCCAACCCACAUCUCCUCAUCUCCAAAAACAUCUCAAUCGCUUCCUUGGCACGCCCACCUUGAGCUAGGCCUCCUAUAAUAGCAUUCCAAGAACCCAACUUUCUUUCAUGAUUUUCCUCAAACAACUUAUAAGCAUUAUUAAAUUCCCCAGACUUUGCAUACAAGCUGAUAAGACCACUCUCGCAAUAUUCAUUCGAUUGAAGGCCAAGCCUUAUGGCAACGGAAUGAAGCUGCCUACCAAUAUCAAUAGCGAAAAGCUGGCACGCAGCUUUUAAGAUGAUGGGAAGAGUAUAAGAAUCAGGCGAGACACUGGCUCGAGACAUAGAGAUAUAGACUUUCAGUGCUUGGGCAGGAGCAUCUAGUCUGGUAUACGAUCUUAUUAUGUUGUUCCAAUGAAAUGGGGCGGUAUAGAAGUCGAGCAUCUGAGUAAGGAUAACAUGGGCAUAAAUUUGGUUCAGUUCCGGUAAGCUGGUGCAGUUUGAUAACUGGGUUGCUAUGGCUUGCGCUGGGUCCUGAGUUGAAUGUGGCGAUGGAGGUGGGGUUUUUAGAUAUUGUAUACCAGAAGGUAAAGUGCUAAAAGCAAGACUGUGGCUAAGAUGAUGGGAAAUAAUUCGGUGUUUGAAGGCGGAGGAUUUAGCGAAGCCGGGAAGAAGAAGACGGUGGAAGCCGUUCAUAAGUCUUGUUGUCAGAUCUUUGAGUUCUCGGCGUCGUAUAGAUUUCCCACUUCAAUUUAACCAAGCCCAAAAGACGGAUUUUAGGCCCAGUCAUGAGCCGAAAUGAUCUCAAACAUCUUCCUCCUCACGAAAUCUGACAUGCAAUGCAAAAGCACUUUCGCAGAGAGAAUCAAGCGGGAAAUAGUCAAAUACAUUUUCCAGCGAAGAGUAUUCUUUAAUGGAUGCCGAUAACCAACCACCGAGGGACUUGAAUCCAGUGACUGAUGGUCAAACGGAUGAAAUCGAUCCGUCAAGCACGGUUCUCGAUCUCACC
rnacentral:misc_RNA from 1 species